rnacentral:rRNA from 1 species
AUUGGUCCACAACAACAACAACUGAGGUUGACCAAAGGUGAAGGUGGCAAAGUAAAUAUUGAAAAUGUCAUUUUUGACCAAGAGAAGGCUAGGAAAGAUCUUGCAUUGAUGAUAUGUGAACAUGAGUAUCCUCUAUCUAUUGUGGAUCAUAGUGGUUUUCAUAGAUUUUGUUCUUCUUUGCAGCCGAUGUUUAAGAUGGUGUGCAGAAAUACUAUUAGGAAUGAUAUUGUGGCUAUGCAUUCUGCUCAAAAGGAGAAGAUGGUGAUUUUUUUUGCAACAUUCAAGCACCGAGUGGCUGUCACUAAAGAUUUGUGGACAGUGGGCUAUCAAAAGAGAGGUUACAUG